UCCGGUUUGACACCGGCAGUCUCGCUAGAGUACCCGGCAUUACCCGCUGGCAACUAGCGACAAGGGUUGCGCUCGUUAAGGGACUUAACCCGACACUUCACAGCACGAGCUGACGACAGCCAUGCAGCACUUGUGCUCGUUCCACCCUUGCGGGCACCCCACUGUUUCCAGCGGGUUCUAAGGAUGUCAAGUCCUGGUGAGGUUCUUCGCUUAGUGUCGAAUUAAACCACAUGCUCCACCGCUUGUGUGGAUCCCCGUCAAUUCCUUUGAGUUUUAGCCUUGCGGCCGUACUUCCCAGGCGGGUUACUUAACGCGUUAGCUUAGGCUCGUACGGGGUCGAGACCGCACAAACCGAGUAACCAUCGUUUACGGCGUGGACUAC
rnacentral:misc_RNA from 1 species